UGGGGGAUAUUGCACAAUGGGGGAAACCCUGAUGCAGCAACGCCGCGUGAACGAAGAAGGUCUUCGGAUUGUAAAGUUCUGUUCUUGGUGAAGAUAAUGACGGUAGCCAAGGAGAAAGCUCCGGCUAACUACGUGCCAGCAGCCGCGGUAAUACGUAGGGAGCGAGCGUUGUCCGGAUUUACUGGGUGUAAAGGGUGCGCAGGCGGCUCUGCAAGUCAGGCGUGAAAGCUAGGGGCUCAACCCCUAAACUGCGCUUGAAACUGUGGAGCUUGAGUGAAGUAGAGGCAGGCGGAAUUCCCGGUGUAGCGGUGAAAUGCGUAGAGAUCGGGAGGAACACCAGUGGCGAAGGCGGCCUGCUGGGCUUUAACUGACGCUCAGGCACGAAAGCAUGGGUAGCAAACAGGA
rnacentral:rRNA from 1 species